rnacentral:rRNA from 1 species
GACGAACGCUGGCGGCGUGCUUAACACAUGCAAGUCGAACGGUAAGGCCCUUCGGGGUACACGAGUGGCGAACGGGUGAGUAACACGUGGGUGAUCUGCCCUGCACUUCGGGAUAAGCCUGGGAAACUGGGUCUAAUACCGGAUAGGACUCCUGGCUUCAUGGUUGGGGGUGGAAAGCUUUUGCGGUGUGGGAUGGGCCCGCGGCCUAUCAGCUUGUUGGUGGGGUAAUGGCCUACCAAGGCGACGACGGGUAGCCGGCCUGAGAGGGUGACCGGUCGAACUGGGACUGAGAUACGGCCCAGACUCCUACGGGAGGCAGCAGUGGGGAAUAUUGCACAAUGGGCGCAAGCCUGAUGCAGCGACGCCGCGUGAGGGAUGACGGCCUUCGGGUUGUAAACCUCUUUCAGCUAUGACGAAGCGCAAGUGACGGUAGUAGCAGAAGAAGGACCGGCCAACUACGUGCCAGCCGCCGCGGUAA